GAAUAUUGGACAAUGGGGGAAACCCUGAUCCAGCGACGCCGCGCGGGUGAAGAAGGCCUGCGGGUUGUAAAGCCCUUUCGGUGGGGAAGAAAAGCCUCGACCUAAUACGUCGGGGUCUUGACGUAACCCAAAAAAGAAGCACCGGCCAACCCUGGGCCAGCAGCCGCGAUAAUACAGAGGGUGCGAGCGUUAAUCGGAAUAACUGGGCGUAAAGCGCACGUAGGCGGCUUUGCAAGUCGGGUGUGAAAUCCCCGGGCUCAACCUGGGAACUGCAUUCGAUACUGCAUUGCUGGAGUAUGGGAGAGGGAAGUGGAAUUUCCGGUGUAGCGGUGAAAUGCGUAGAUAUCGGAAGGAACACCAGUGGCGAAAGCGACUUCCUGGACCAAUACUGACGCUCAGGUGCGAAAGCGUGGGGAGCAAACAGG
rnacentral:rRNA from 1 species